GUAAUGAUGCAUCCCGGUAUAACUAUUGUUUCAGCUAUUACAUACAAGCUUAUUUUGUCAACGCUGUUGAUAUGUUUGAGGUGAUGACACAAAUAGGUUUCAUGCCCAUCCAAGGUUGGGAAAUGUCCGAAUAUAGCUUCAGUUAGGUUGUCAAGGUAAAAAGUUAAUGGAGUUUUUGGUUCUGAAAGCCCCACAAAACAACCACGCCCACGUCUCCCACUCAUAUGUACGUCAUGUUGCGGAAGCUAGUUCUGUUUUAAGUUUCGUUUCGUGGCAGGUUGCUUUUAAGACAGGUGACGUUAUCUGUGUAUAACGUAAAACAGAGAACAGGUGAUACUUACACCGUCGUUAAAUAAAACGUAAGAAGAAGGUAAUGCCUAUUGUCGCGCAGCACGGGGAUAUUCCUGUUAAACGAAUGAACAAAGCUAAUGUUAACUAGGUAACGUUAUCUAAUUUUAGGCUACCUAGUGUCAUUAUUGCUUUAAAAUUAAUAAUCCGACUUGAUAUUCAACCAAUGUAACACUUGUUGGACCUUUGACAUGGAAAUGCAGGUUAAAACCGAAGUCAAUGAUCGCAUGAUUUCUGAAACAAACUGCGGAUCAUAUGAUGGAGCGGAAAGCAUCUCGGUGAAACCAGAACCGGAGACUAGUAUUGAUAUCGCCGCACAAUCGGUGCACUCGCGAUAUUGCAGGAUAACAGUGACGGGAGAACACCCAGGAGAAUUUAAUUGCCCGGUAAAACCCGACAUCAGUCGUUAAUGUCACGUUGAAACCCGACAAUGGAGUAGAUUUAGACAUUACAGUGAAACGCAUAUAAAAUUAAGCUCAUUGUGUUUCUGCAUUGAAACUGGAACACGCGGAACAUGACAUUUCUCUCUGUGCAGACCUUUCGAUUGCCGGGAGUAUUUGUAAAAAUGAGCCCGAAGCUCCGAGAAAGAAGUGCAUUGAGACUCGCAGGAAUACCGAACAGCUGGCAAGGCCCAGGAAGCGGAACCCAAAGGUGUUCCACUGUGGAAUUUUCGGCAAGGACAUUAAACAAAGUUCGAAUUUCCAGGAGCAUCAGCGGGUGUACAGUAAUGAGAGACAUUUACGAGUGGGGGCGACAUUUACGAGUGGGGGCGACAUAGCUCAGGAGUUCCACUGCCAGUACUGCCACCUCGUCUUCAACCGUCGCUCCAACCUGAGGAAGCACGAGCAGGUGCACUGCCCCGGAAGUGCACGGGGGGCCCGGGGGUUCGAGCCUCCGACCCUGGCCUGCGGUGCCGGGACAGCCACAGGACCAAAAGGGUUCUUAUGGUAAGCAGAAGCUGCUUUCGUUUAAGUUUGGAAGUACGUAAGCGAGAGGGGGAGAGAAAGAGGUGACCCCCCCCCCCCGCGUUGCACAUGUGGGUCAUUUCUCAUCUCUUCUCGUCUAUGGCUGCACAGAACCGAAGAGAAGAAAUGGAGGGAGUUUGUGAAGUUGUCGUUGCAUUGGAGGACUGAGCAGAGACCCUGGCGAUAAUGGGUUCCUUUGUUUGGCAAGACUUUGCCGACGGAACGAGAGAGCAGUCUCUCGGCAUCUGUGGAUUACGUUAAGUUCACUUAGCAGACGAGUCUACAAAACGUGGAAAACAGCAGUGUUACUCUGUGGACAAUGUCACCAAGAAGGCACUGAAGAUCCUUUCAUGACAAUAAGUGUAAAAAGCUAGCCAAACGAACCAAAAAUAAAGCAUUAUAAAGCACCUC